CCGUGUUACCCGCUUAUGUGGCUCUAUUUUUGCCUAGUCAUUGAUUCCACAUGACUUUUAUAAUUUCUUUUUAUUACACAUGGUCUAAUAAAAAAAAUUAAACAUUUUAAGUUUAAAUUUAAUCCCUAAUCCCUAAUCAUCCCAAAUCAAAGAUGGACAAAACUCAUGGACCUCGAAGCUCCACUGGCACACAACAUCCAAUUCAUCCCAAACAGCACCUUGUUAACACCGGCUGCACCACCUCUGUUCCCUCUCUUGUUUAUCAACUCACCCCACCUCCUUAACACCGUGGCCCUAAAACAACAGAGAUAUAGGGUUUGGGUAAGUAUUUAUAAUCAAAAUUGCUCCUUUCUCCAAAAUUGCACAACAAAAUGCAAAGGUUGCAACCGUGGUGGUUUGGGUUUGCGUUUUCGUCGUCGUCAUGGUGGGAGUAGGUGUGGUCACAGGGUGCGGUGGUGAGAUGGAAUCUCGCGGUUGGUUCCUUGUUCUGUGGUGGCUGGUGUCUUGCUUUAUGGUGGUUGGUGUCCUUGAACUCAUGGAGUUGAAGCCAUGGAAAGGAGAUGCAUAAGAACUUGGUAAUUGGCAGCUUUAUAAGAUUUGGGGAAACGAUGUUAAUUGUGGAAUUUUCAUUGUGUUUUAGAUUCAUGAUUUCAAGUGGGGUUUCAGAAUUUGUGAUUUUUCCUUUUUCGUUCUGGGUUGGUAAUGGAUCAGGUUCAAGGGACUAUUCAUCUUCAUGAAAACUGGGUUUAGGAAUGUUUUGUUUUUGAAGAUAAUGUUUUGUAAAAGUGAUCUGAAAAAGAAAAGAUGAGGGAAGUAUGUGUUAA